rnacentral:misc_RNA from 1 species
GAUGAAGAACGCAGCGAAAUGCGAUACGUAAUGUGAAUUGCAGAAUUCAGUGAAUCAUCGAGUCUUUGAACGCACAUUGCGCCCCCUGGUAUUCUGGCGGGCAUGCCUGUUCGAGCGUCAUUACGCCCCUCAAGUCCCCUGUGGACUUGGUGUUGGGGAUCGGCGAGGCUGGUUUUCCAGCACAGCCGUCCCUUAAAUUAAUUGGCGGUCUCGCCGUGGCCCUCCUCUGCGCAGUAGUAAAACACUCGCAACAGGAGCCCGGCGCGGUCCACUGCCGUAAAACCCCCCAACUUUUUAUAGUUGACCUCGAAUCAGGUAGGACUACCCGCUGAACUUAAGCAUAUCAAUAAGCGGAGGA